rnacentral:rRNA from 1 species
GGGCGUAAAGGGCGCGUAGGUGGUUUGGUAAGUCGGAUGUGAAAUCCCCGGGCUCAACCUGGGAACUGCAUUCGAAACUGCCUGGCUAGAGUUUGGUAGAGGGAAGUGGAAUUCCACAUGUAGCGGUGAAAUGCGUAGAGAUGUGGAGGAACACCAGUGGCGAAGGCGGCUUCCUGGACCAAAACUGACACUGAAGCGCGAAAGCGUGUGGAGCAAACAGGAUUAGAUACCCUGGUAGUCCACGCCGUAAACGAUGAGAACUAGACGUUGGAAGGCUUCGUCCUUCUAGUGUCGCAGCUAACGCGAUAAGUUCUCCGCCUGGGGAGUACGGUCGCAAGACUAAGACUCAAAGGAAUUGACGGGGGCCCGCACAAGCGGUGGAGUAUGUGGUUUAAAUUCGAUGCAACGCGAAAAACCUUACCUGCUCUUGACAUGUCAGGAACGGGGCAGAGAUGUCCCGGUGCCCGAAAGGGAACCUGAACACAGGUGCUGCAUGGCUGUCGUCAGCUCGUGUCGUGAGAUGUUGGGUUAAGUCCCGUAACGAGCGCAACCCUUGUCUUUAGUUGCCAUCAUUUAGUUGGGCACUCUAGAGAGACUGCCGGUGACAAACCGGAGGAAGGUGGGGAUGACGUCAAGUCCUCAUGGCCUUUAUGGGCAGGGCAACACACGUACUACAAUGGCCGGUACAGAGGGUCGCCAACCCGCGAGGGGGAGCCAAUCCCAGAAAACCGGUCGUAGUCCGGAUCGGAGUCUGCAACUCGACUCCGUGAAGUCGGAAUCGCUAGUAAUCGC